rnacentral:lncRNA from 1 species
AACAACAUUCAUUAUAAGCUGUCACAAGCGUGAUGACUUAUCACCAAUGUCAUCAGACCUAAGUAGAUUUCCACCCCCAGUGAUGACAUUUUUGAUAAGUCAUCAUGCUCGUGAACGCUUAUCUCGAAUGUCAUCAACCUUAACCACAAAAUCAAGAUUUCACCUUUUUGUGACGACAUUUCAUGACGACUUAUCACCAACUUGACGACUUGUCACGAAUGUUGUCAGCUAUUUUUUUCUUAGCAAUUA